rnacentral:rRNA from 1 species
UAGGGAAUCUUCCACAAUGGGCGCAAGCCUGAUGGAGCAACACCGCGUGAGUGAAGAAGGGUUUCGGCUCGUAAAGCUCUGUUGUUAAAGAAGAACACGUAUGAGAGUAGCUGUUCAUACGUUGACGGUAUAUAACCAGAGAGUCACGGCUAACUACGUGCCAC